rnacentral:rRNA from 1 species
UUGAUCAUGGCUCAGAACGAACGCUGGCGGCAGGCUUAACACAUGCAAGUCGAGCGCUCCUUUCGGGGAGAGCGGCGGACGGGUUAGUAACGCGUGGGAACGUGCCUCUUGCUACGGAAUAGCCCAGGGAAACUUGGAUUAAUACCGUAUACGCCCUUUGGUGGAGGCACCUUUGGGGAAAGAUUUAUCGGCGAGAGAUCGGCCCGCGUUGGAUUAGGUAGUUGGUGGGGUAAUGGCCUACCAAGCCGACGAUCCAUAGCUGGUUUGAGAGGAUGAUCAGCAACACUGGGACUGAGACACGGCCCAGACUCCUACGGGAGGCAGCAGUGGGGAAUCUUGGACAAUGGGGGCAACCCUGAUCCAGCCAUGCCGCGUGAACGAUGAAGGCCUUAGGGUUGUAAAGUUCUUUCAGCGAGGAAGAUAAUGACGGUACUCGCAGAAGAAGCCCCGGCUAACUCCGUGCCAGCAGCCGCGGUAAUACGGAGGGGGCUAGCGUUGUUCGGAAUUACUGGGCGUAAAGCGCACGUAGGCGGAUCAGUCAGUCAGAGGUGAAAUCCCAGGGCUCAACCCUGGAACUGCCUUUGAUACUGCUGAUCUAGAGAUCAUGAGAGGUGAGUGGAAUUCCGAGUGUAGAGGUGAAAUUCGUAGAUAUUCGGAGGAACACCAGUGGCGAAGGCGGCUCACUGGCAUGAUACUGACGCUGAGGUGCGAAAGUGUGGGGAGCAAACAGGAUUAGAUACCCUGGUAGUCCACACCGUAAACGAUGAGAGCUAGACGUCGGGCGGCUUGCCGUUCGGUGUCGCAGCUAACGCAUUAAGCUCUCCGCCUG